rnacentral:rRNA from 1 species
GACGAACGCUGGCGGCGUGCCUAAUACAUGCAAGUCGAACGCUGAAGAGAGGAGCUUGCUCUUCUUGGAUGAGUUGCGAACGGGUGAGUAACGCGUAGGUAACCUGCCUUGUAGCGGGGGAUAACUAUUGGAAACGAUAGCUAAUACCGCAUAAUAUUGUAUGACCCAUGUCUUUUAUUUGAAAGGGGCAAUUGCUCCACUACAAGAUGGACCUGCGUUGUAUUUGCUAGUAGGUGAGGUAAAGGCUUACCUAGGCGAAGAUAGAUAACCCACCCGAGGAGGGGGACGGCCCCCACGGGAAUUGGGAAACGGCCCAGACUCCACGGGAGGGAGCAGGAGGGGAUCCUCGCGAAAUGGGGCAACCCCGACCGGGGAACCCCGGGGGAGUGAAGAAGGUUUUCGGGUCGGAAAAACCUGGUGUAAGUCAAGAAAGAGAGGGGGAGUUGAAAGUUCACAUUGUGACGGUACCUUACCAGAAAGGCACGGCUAACUACGUG